AUCAACUUUCGAUGGUAGGAUAGAGGCCUACCACGGUGGUAACGGGUAACGGGGUGUUAGGGCACGACACCGGAGAGGGAGCCUGAGAAACGGCUACCACAUCCAAGGAAGGCAGCAGGCGCGCAAAUUACCCAAUCCCGACACGGGGAGGUAGUGACAAUAAAUAACAAUACAGGGUUCUUUAGGAUCUUGUAAUUGGAAUGAGUACAAUUUAAAUCUCUUAACGAGGAACAAUUGGAGGGCAAGUCUGGUGCCAGCAGCCGCGGUAAUUCCAGCUCCAAUAGCGUAUAUUAAAGUUGUUGCAGUUAAAAAGCUCGUAGUUGAACCUCGGGAUCAAUGGAUCGGUCAUGCCAUCGGUAUGUACUGGUCUCAUUGGUUCUCACCUUCUAAGGAACCAUGAUGUCAUUCAUUUGAUGUUGUGGGGAAUUAGGACUGUUACCUUGAAAAAAUUAGAGUGUUUAAAGCAGGCAUUUUUGCUCGAAUACAUUAGCAUGGAAUAAUAGAAUAGGACGGCAUGGUUCUAUUUUGUUGGUUUCUAGGAUCACCGUAAUGAUUAAUAGGGAUAGUUGGGGGCAUUAGUAUUCAAUUGUCAGAGGUGAAAUUCUUGGAUUUAUUGAAGACUAACUACUGCGAAGGCAUUUGCCAAGGAUGUUUUCAUUAAUCAAGAACGAAAGUUAGGGGAUCGAAGACGAUCAGAUACCGUCGUAGUCUUAACCAUAAACUAUGCCGACUAGGAAUCAGACGAUGUUAAUUUUUUAAUGACUCGUUUGGCACCUUACGGGAAACCAAAGUGUUUGGGUUC
rnacentral:rRNA from 1 species